UACUUGUCAUCGACAUCUGGCUACUCCUCCCAGGAUGAGCUGCAGGGUUUGGCCUACUCUGACUCAUUCUCUCCCCUUGCCAAGCUGUGGGGCUGGAUCUCGCUGCUGUCUCCAG